rnacentral:rRNA from 1 species
UACAGAGGUCUCGAGCGUUAGGCGGAAUCACUGGGCUUAAAGCGUGUGUAGGCGGAUCGUUAAGUACCUUGUGAAAUUCCACGGCUUAACCGUGGAACUGCUUGGUAUACUGGCGGUCUUGAGCCAGCUAGGGGCUACCGGAACAAAUGGUGGAGCGGUGAAAUGCGUAGAUAUCAUUUGGAACGCCAAUGGUGAAAACAGGUAGCUGGGGCUGUGCUGACGCUGAGACACGAAAGCCAGGGGAGCAAAGGGG